GGCUGGCUCAGUGGUUAGAGCUUAGGUCUCGUAACUGAAAGGUCCGGGAUCGAAUCCCGCUAGAGGCUG
rnacentral:tRNA from 1 species